UAUCAUUUAAAAAAAAAACUAUCUUAAUGUGGUACCCUAUCUUUCUCCAAAAUAGAAUACUUUAUUAAAGAGAAAAAAGGUAAAAGGUAAAGAAGAGAGAAGGAUUGCUGUCCCAUAAUCAGUCAAGUUUCACACGCACAUAUCUCAAAUGCAAGGAUUAACAGAAGGACAAUGGCGGGAGAGUCUCAUCCUCACGAUGUUUGCAUCCUAUUGAAAUGAGGGUCCAAAUGCUACCAGCCUCCACAGCAGGCAUGCGGCUCAAGCAGCAGAGAUGCUUUGUGUCAGAAAAGAACCUGGUGCUGUGGAUAGCAGGAAACCUCUGCACUGAUGCAGUGAAUCCACUGAGCUGUUCCUGGAAAAACAAAGGAAGAGCAAGGACACACCCUCCUCCCAUCUGAUUUUGAAAGCCACGUAGUGAUGUUUGUUUCCUAAACAAGAAUCGAAUGUUUGUCACUUGCACUACUUAAUUAUGACCAGAGAGAUUUGCUACCAUUACACAUUCUGUCCAUGGUGCUUAUUUAAUUUUGGUAUUAAAGAGACAGGACUAUCCAGUCACCAAGUAACAAGUGUUAAACCUCAAUAAAUAGCAUUUUAGUAAUCAGUUUCUGAAAUGCACAGAUCACC